UCUUGCAUAAAAUGCCAGCGGCGCAGAUCCAUUCCCAGGGGCUGUUUCCGGCAGGCGCUACCCUCUGCGAGCUGCGGUGGGCCGAGUGGGGCCGUGGGUCUGGGUGAGCUGGAGCUACCAGGAGGACGGCUUACGAAGGAUCCCCUAAACCCCAGCAGGCCUGGCUGGGCCUCACCUGGAGCUCGGCCCAGAAGGCCCCUGGAAAGGGCCACCAUUGCGUCACGGGCUUGUCUCGAAGAAUGAACAGUGGGCAGAGCUCUGGGGCCAACUCUCGAUCUACUGGUGCAUCUGUUCGUCAUUUGGCUGGUCCCUCCCUUGUCUGGCCUUGAUGCCCGGAUCUACAAAAUGGGGUGUUGGACAUGGAUCUUGGCUUCUUUGUGUCCUGAAAGGUGACAUCGGUGGGUCCAGGUCGGACAACUCCAGAAAGACUUCGGAAAGACCACCGUGGGGGAACCUACACGUCUUGCACCAUUCGAAGGCAAGAGGCAAGGGCCUCCCUGGCCUGAUCUGAGCCCUUGGACACACCGUCCUAUGGCCUGUACUCCUGGGAACAUUUUUUUUAAUUUUAAUUUUUUUUUUUUUUUUUUGUGAAAUAGCACUGCUUCCCAAUCCCAAGAGAAAGAUCUGGCAAAAGAGAGCCAUGCACACUCACCCUCCCCUCUGCGUGGGGGUAACACAUCAGUAGGCGCUCUAACGAGCCAGCACCCCUCCCUAAAGCCAUGGCUUGUUUGCUUCUCCUAGGAGCCUGGCACCGAGCCCGAGAUACUGUCAUUGUCUUGGGGACAGACGCCCCUCCCCCAGCACCUUAAGUGGCCCCGGCUGCCAGGUUGGGCGUCUUCUCCCCCAAAGCAGGCUCCCACCCUGGGAGCACCUAGAGCCUUUCCUCCAUCCCUGUGGCUGCAGAGGGCCGCAUAAAUGUGCUCAGCUGGCUCUGUAGUCUCUGUGGAAACCCGGCUGACACCAGUGCCUGUCUCCUGGACUCACAGCCUGGACUCAGAGUUAAGAGAAAAUAUGGCAGUCAGACUGAGCCAAGGCAGGGGAAUCAAAACCAAGAGCCAGAAAGAGGACUUUGGGAGAAGCCCCAGAUUAUGGUUUUUUUCUUUCCACUUGGGCCGUUUUUACUUGGUGGUUCACAACUUGACAUUUGAUUUGGUGACAUUUGAUUAGGGAAACGUGACAAGGUAAUAAAGAGCCCUGGAAUGUCAUGUUCAUCUUACAACCUCCUGUCACGUCAUCGGGUCUGAUAUGCAGGCUGCUCUGAGAUGCCGUUCCUGCCUCCUGGACAAGUGUCCAGUGUCUACAAUGGUUUAGAUAAGGUGUCUCCAUUGGAAACACACACCAGGAGUUGGGGCAAAGAAAGACAGGUGGGAGUGAGGAGAAAGACUGUUAAUACCGUGAUGGCCUGUGUCUCUGCCAAGGUGAGUGUGAAGGAUUCCAAACCCAAAAAGGGAAAUUGCAGAGCUUCGUAUUAUACAUAUGUGUACAUACAGGUGCAUCAUGUGCUCUCAUCAAGGGUUCAGUUUGUCUGUCUACAAAAUCAAGCACCCCACCACCACCACCACCAAAAACAUCUCUUUGCACCCCCUUUGAACAUUGCUUGGGAAGCAGCUGAUGUAUUGUCAACCUCCCAACCCAGGGACCAAAGGAAUACAUAACAAUAGACCUAGGACUCUGGAAGGUUCUACAGCUACAUGGAUGGCAGAGAGUGGAAAUCUCAAACCAGCUAUCAGCUGUGCCAAGUCUGCAGCCCCUCUGCUGUCAGCACUUAGACUUCUGGCUUUCUUCACUCCCCACUCCACCAUCUGCAUGAAGGGCUGAAGUGGGUGGUGCCGAGCAGCCUCCCUGGAAGGUGGUGCUGAUGAUGGGGUAGAGGGAACGUCUUGCAGUGGUGAAUAGGCAAGGCCCAUGAAGAGUGCCCUUCGCUGACGGCUUCUGAAUCAAGGUUUCAGAUUGACUGACUCAUCAGGAGAAUACAGAAGAACGAUGCCUCAACCAGUUCUUCUAGAAGUCUCUCCAGGUAUAUUUGUUUGAAACUAUAGAUUUUUUUUCUGAGGCUGGGAGAAAUUCACAUCGUCUAGGCCAGGGGUCUGCAACCAAAGCUAUAGGCUAGAGUGAACUCGCUGCCUAAUUUUGUAAGUAAAGUUUUAUUAGAACACAACCACGCCCACUUGUUGACGGAUUGUCUAUGGAUGCUUUUUGCCAUACAACAGCAGAGUCGAGUUAGGGGCAACAGAGAUUGUAUGAUUCCCCAGAGCUUGAUACAUUGGCUAUCUGGCUCUUUCCAGAAAAACUCCGCAACCCUUGAUCGUCCAUUGUUUCGGUUCUGGACAAUGUGCUAUGGCAGGACAGCAACCAUGCUAAGCCACCUGGAAACAUAUAUAAGGCCACAUAGCUCUUUUUUUUUUUUUUUUUUUUUAAGGCCACAUAGCUCUUAAACAAUUUCUUUUACCUAUAAAAUUAUGAAGAAGAAAAUAAAAAGUCACCCGCAAUUCUAUCACUGUCUAAUAAGAACUGUUACUAUUUUGCUGUGUUUGCAUCUAGCCUUUCCCUGUGCACAUAUAAAAGUAUAAAUCUAUGUAAUUAUGCAAUUAAAAUCCUACUGC